AACGAACGCUGGCGGCAUGCCUAACACAUGCAAGUCGAACGAGACCUUCGGGUCUAGUGGCGCACGGGUGCGUAACGCGUGGGAACCUGCCCUUAGGUUCGGAAUAACUCCCCGAAAGGGGUGCUAAUACCGGAUAAUGUCUUCGGACCAAAGAUUUAUCGCCUUUGGAUGGGCCCGCGUUGGAUUAGCUAGUUGGUAGGGUAAAAGCCUACCAAGGCGACGAGCCAUAGCUGGUCUGAGAGGAUGAUCAGCCACACUGGGACUGAGACACGGCCCAGACUCCUACGGGAGGCAGCAGUGGGGAAUAUUGGACAAUGGGCGAGAGCCUGAUCCAGCAGUGCCGCGUGGGUGAUGAAGGCCUUAGGGUUGUAAGGCUCUUUUACCCGGGAUGAUAAUGACAGUACCGGAAGAAUAAGCUCCGGCUACCUCCUU
rnacentral:rRNA from 1 species